AGGAUAGAAAGAAUUUCAAUUAUAAUUAUAUAAGUUUUACUAAUUAUUAUUAGAAUUAGAUAUUAUGGAUGUUGAGGUUGUAAUGAAUUAUUUUUGGCCUUACAUAUUCUUUAGAACUUGCUCUAAAGAAGGUACGACCAUCACGUAUCCGAUCUGGGUGUUGGGUUCGGGGUGUGACAUCUUUAAUAUAUAUGAUUAUGAAAAUUAGGAUAGUGAUACUACA
rnacentral:lncRNA from 1 species